ensembl:lncRNA
GCUCAUGGUCUCCUGAUUCCAGAUGGCCUUCUCGGUGGAUUCCAGAUGGCCUGCUCACGGUCUCCUGAUUCCAGAUGGCCUGCUCACGGUCUCCUGAUUCCAGAUGGCCUGCUCACGGUCUCCUGAUUCCAGAUGGCAUGCUCACGGUCUCCUGAUUCCAGAUGGCCUGCUCACAGUCCCCUGAUUCCAGAUGGCCUGCUCACAGUCUCCUGAUUCCAGAUGGCCUGCUGACAGUCUCCUGAUUCCAGAUGGCCUGCUCACAGUCUCUUGAUUCCAGAUGGCCUGCUCAUGGUCUCCUGAUUCCAGAUGGCCUGCUCGGUGGAUUCCAGAUGGCCUGCUCAUAGUCUCCUGAUUUCAGAUGGCCUGCUCACGGUCUCCUGAUUCCAGAUGGCCUGCUCACGGUCUCCUGAUUCCAGAUGGCCUGCUCACGGUCUCCUGAUUCCAGAUGGCCUGCUCACGGUCUCCUGAUUCCAGAUGGCAUGCUCACGGUCUCCUGAUUCCAGAUGGCCUGCUCACAGUCCCCUGAUUCCAGAUGGCCUGCUCACAGUCUCCUGAUUCCAGAUGGCCUGCUGACAGUCUCCUGAUUCCAGAAGGCCUGCUCACGGUCUCCUGAUUCCAGAUGGCCUGCUCAUGGUCUACUGAUUCCAGAAGGCCUGCUCAUGGUUUCCUGAUUCCAGAUGGCCUGCUCAUGGUCUCCUGAUUCCAUAUGGCCUGCUCACGGUCUCCUGAUUCCAGAUGGCCUGCUCACGGUCUCCUGAUUCCAGAUGGCCUGCUCACAGUCUCUUGAUUCCAGAUGGCCUGCUCAUGGUCUCCUGAUUCCAGAUGGCCUGCUCGGUGGAUUCCAGAUGGCCUGCUCAUAGUCUCCUGAUUUCAGAUGGCCUGCUCACGGUCUCCCGAUUCCAGAUGGCCUGCUCACGGUCUCCUGAUUCCAGAUGGCCUUCUCGGUGGAUUCCAGAUGGCCUGCUCACGGUCUCCUGAUUCCAGAUGGCCUGCUCACGGUCUCCUGAUUCCAGAUGGCCUGCUCACGGUCUCCUGAUUCCAGAUGGCAUGCUCACGGUCUCCUGAUUCCAGAUGGCCUGCUCACAGUCCCCUGAUUCCAGAUGGCCUGCU